UCCACAAUAAAACAUUAGCAGUGUGCUUAGGGUUUCAAUCCACAUCAGCGCGUAUCACCAACUUAUCUUGAAAUUUCCUUCUUAGAAGACAGUUCUGAUGAAGUAUCGUUCUAAGUGCAGGUGAUAGCGAAGGAAAAAGCUAGGAUUAAAGAUUGAAGACUCCAAUUAUGUUCUAAUUUUCUACCCACAGGAGCUUGUUGUGUGAGGAAACAAUGAUUAAAUUUCUGGGAGAAGAAAAAAUUGUUUGUCACCUCUAUCGGCAUCAACAACUCAUCUUAGAAUUUCCAUCAUGUUAUGCGACACCAAUGGAGUGAUCGCUCCUUGGAAAGAAGCUUGAAGCGAGGAAGCAGGAAGUUACUUUUGUUCUUCUUCAAACUCCAGGUAGCCUGGGAGCAUGGACAAUUUUCAAGGUUGAGAGCCACUGCAGUAACACUUUCUGAACUUUCGACUGCACCUGAAUUACUGUGAAGGGAAAAGCAUGAAAGAUGCUGCAGUGAUUGGGUGUACCUUGUUUGUCACUUGCUGCUAAGAUGGAGGACUGAAAUUAGUGUGUAGCUGGUUCUUGUUAGGGGUGUUUGAUGUUUACAUUUUGUACGAUCUACAAUAGAGUUAGAAACUGACGAAUUGGGAUGCUUUAUUUCUUUUAUAAUCAACAAUCAAGUUUAUAUAGAAAUUGAUUAUUUUGCAUUA